rnacentral:rRNA from 1 species
CAUAGGUUAAUGAGGCGAACCGGGGGAACUGAAACAUCUAAGUACCCCGAGGAAAAGAAAUCAACCGAGAUUCCCCCAGUAGCGGCGAGCGAACGGGGAGGAGCCCAGAGCCUGAAUCAGUGUGUGUGUUAGUGGAAGCGUCUGGAAAGGCGCGCGAUACAGGGUGACAGCCCCGUACACAAAAAUGCACAUAUUGUGAGCUCGAUGAGUAGGGCGGGACACGUGGUAUCCUGUCUGAAUAUGGGGGGACCAUCCUCCAAGGCUAAAUACUCCUGACUGACCGAUAGUGAACCAGUACCGUGAGGGAAAGGCGAAAAGAACCCCGGCGAGGGGAGUGAAAAAGAACCUGAAACCGUGUACGUACAAGCAGUGGGAGCCUCUUAAUGGGGUGACUGCGUACCUUUUGUAUAAUGGGUCAGCGACUUAUAUUCUGUAGCAAGGUUAACCGAAUAGGGGAGCCGAAGGGAAACCGAGUCUUAACUGGGCGUUAAGUUGCAGGGUAUAGACCCGAAACCCGGUGAUCUAGCCAUGGGCAGGUUGAAGGUUGGGUAACACUAACUGGAGGACCGAACCGACUAAUGUUGAAAAAUUAGCGGAUGACUUGUGGCUGGGGGUGAAAGGCCAAUCAAACCGGGAGAUAGCUGGUUCUCCCCGAAAGCUAUUUAGGUAGCGCCUCGUGAAUUCAUCUCCGGGGGUAGAGCACUGUUUCGGCAAGGGGGUCAUCCCGACUUACCAACCCGAUGCAAACUGCGAAUACCGGAGAAUGUUAUCACGGGAGACACACGGCGGGUGCU